CGGUUUCUUCAUGUUGGGGGCCUGCGAACUCCUCUCUUUUCGUCCUUUAUAAAAUAUGUAAUAAGUUCGGCGAGCCUCAGUCAGUCUACUGCACCCUACAGCCCAAGAGCCCGCUCCUCCCUGCCUGUCUCUUUGCUUAGUGCGUAAAGGUCGCGCUCACCGUGGGGCUGGCGCUGCAGCCCGGUGCUUUUCGCUGUCCCCUUUCCCUCCCUCCCGUCUCCUGGUCCCCUGCCCAUUAGCGAAGGUCCUCUGCUCUCCGUGUUUCCCUCUGACCUCACUCUGAGCCCCUGGGCUGCGGCACCGGGGCUUCCUUCCCCUGUCGGACGCAGCCCUGGGUCGGAGCCCAAGCUCCCGCAGGCCGCCCAGCUCCCCGGGCCGUCCUGCCCUUAGGGCCCUGCUCCAGUCCCACCAUUUCUGCGCUUUCAUCUGGAACGGCAGCAUUUCAUUUGUUAGCUGGAGCAAGCUACAUUUUUAGCCCCAGCCAGAGAAGAUGUUUUCUGUCUCUUCUGAGAAAAAUCCAAGACACCCGCGCUGUGACGUGCGCGGUUGCUUCCAGCAUUUCCUGUGACUGGGAGUUCCUGUGAGUUCCUGUAAGAGUUUCUCUAGGAGUUCGGAGAGCACAAGAAGAGUCCCGUCACCGAAUGACAUUUGGGAAGAGCUUCGCUUUACAAACCACCGUUUGCCCUCGGUGGAAACCAAGUCACCUGCCUCCUAUCAGAGCAUUCUGACUCCCUGGCGUUGAUCGUGCACAUAGUGUUUUAGGAGUUCCGGAAUAAAAACAGAGUGCAAGCGAAACAUUUUCCCUUCGCUCUGAGAAGCUCCACAGCAUCCUAAGCUUCCGUGUACUCGCUGGGGUGGACAGUGUGACGGUGGGGAUCGUGUGGGCCCACCUCCCUCUCAGGCUGCUUUGGACCCAGAGGAAAGAACAUCUGCAAACCCCUGCUUGUCUGGUGUCUGCGGGAGGAGCCGGCUGACCCGAUGCUGGCGGGGGACUCGGGCUGAAGAAUGUCCUUUUUGUGAGAGAAUCGCCAAGAAUGUAAGAGAAAAGAAAAGAAGAGCAGCUGGCAGUUAGAUGAUAGACUGAUGGAUCGGCAUAUAGUCAGACGCUCCCGUUUCUGGAUUAAGAUGCAAAUGGCGCUUGAAGUCCAAAAAUGAUGCCUGCCCCUGCUGAGUGUCCUGCAGAGGCGGAAACGCACAGCUGAGAGCUGGCCUGCGAGCUUGGUUCAGGAUCGAUCACAUCAAACUGGGCGGCACCAUUCACAUCUUCCAAAGCAACCCCAGGAAGCGUGGCCCUCACUUACUCAGGACCGGAAGCGGAAUGCCAGCCGGGACGCAUGGCCGUCAUGAGGCCUAGCGAGGAGCCACGCGCUGCUGUGACAGGAGUCGCCCUCUGGGUGCCAGAGCGGCGCUGGUGGCCGCGGUCGGCAGUCGGCAGGGGGCAGCCAGGGCGCAGCACCCGUGGGGCCAGCAUGGGGAGGAGAAAUGUCUCCAGCCUGUCCGAGUGCGGCUUGGAGUUCUAGCUGCCUGAGGUCGAGGACAGGGGAAGCCAGAGUUGGGUUUCUCGUUUAAAGGUUAAGAGGCACGGAAGUGUAGAAAAGCACACAGGACCGAACACCUGACCUGUAAGUGGCACCAUGUCUCACGCGGGCUGUGCGGCGCGUGUCCUCUGGGGACGCGUGUCAGGAGCAUGCUUCCUCCCACGGGGGCCGUGCUUUGUUACGGGCGUGUCUGCCUGUGUUGCCAGGUUGGGAGCCGUUAGAGGAAGGAGCGCUUGUUACUCAUCCUGGUACCACAGAACCCGACCGGAACCUGGACGGCUGUCUGUCACUAUUUCUGGUGAAGGAAUCGCUUGGGGAUGAGUCGGUGGGUGAAUGGGUCAGGACGUGGGUGGUCCUCCCUCUGCCACGAACGCCCGAAUCCACAAGCUGCUUCCAGACAGCAGUUCCGUAACCUCUGAGGAACAAUCCUGCGUGUGUUAGAGGUGCAGGAUCAGGACGACUGCUUACCUAAGCAGGGGCGCCCGCGAGAGCCUGCGACGCAGAGUUGUUACCGCAGCCUCCGCAGGCGCCCUGGGCCCUGCACACGUAAGGCCCACACGCACACGCACACGCACACCUCCAGCCCCUCUUUCAUCCCCUUGUGCCCGUGCAUCCCGGGCUCUGAGCACAGAGGAGCCCCGGGGUGUGAAACGGUCCGUGUUCAGGAGACAAACGGCAGCUUCUCACAGGGUUCACGGGCGCUGGGUGAAGCAAGUGGCCAGCGAAGCUUGACUUCAUCCUCACCUUACUGUACUUCAGCGGAAGCUCUUGCUCUUCCUCCUCCUCCUCGUCAUCCUCACCCACACUCGUGAGAGCAAAUGAAGUCGCAAAGAGACAAACCAGAAAUACAGGAAAACCACAGAAAGGACCCCAGAACAGAGCGCUGGUGGAGACAUUUGCACUCAGCACCAGCCUUCAUGUGGCCGAAAACUCAGUGAGGCCGAGGGAGAUGUCUUUCCCUGUCGAGCGUCACUGUGCCUCCUGCGAACUGGGAAAUGACUUACUCUAAUUCGUGGGCCAUGGAGGACCCCCGGGUGGGACCUUUGUUGGCAAUGA